rnacentral:rRNA from 1 species
GACGAACGCUGGCGGCGUGCCUAAUACAUGCAAGUCGAACGCAGUGGGGACGGGUGAGUAACACGUGGGUAACCUCCCAUCAGAGGGGAUAACACUUGGAAACCGGUGCUAAACCGAUACUGAUGGAUGGACCCGCGGUGCAUUAGCUAGUUGGGGAGGUAACGGCUCACCAAGGCCACGAGGCAUAGCCGACCAGGGAGGGUAAGCGGCCGAACUGGGACUUGGACGCGGCCCAGACUCCUCCGGGAGGCAGCAGUGGGGAAUCUGCGGCAAUGGACGAAAGUCUGACCGAGCAACGCCGCGUGAGUGAAGAAGGUUUCCGGAUCGUAAAACUCUGUUGUUAGAGAAGCGGUAUCUAACCAGAAAGCCACGGCUAACUACGUGCCAGCAGCCGCGGUAAUAC